rnacentral:rRNA from 1 species
AUUGAACGCUGGCGGCAGGCCUAACACAUGCAAGUCGAGCGGAUGAAGGGAGCUUGCUCCUGGAUUCAGCGGCGGACGGGUGAGUAAUGCCUAGGAAUCUGCCUGGUAGUGGGGGAUAACGUCCGGAAACGGGCGCUAAUACCGCAUACGUCCUGAGGGAGAAAGUGGGGGAUCUUCGGACCUCACGCUAUCAGAUGAGCCUAGGUCGGAUUAGCUAGUUGGUGGGGUAAAGGCCUACCAAGGCGACGAUCCGUAACUGGUCUGAGAGGAUGAUCAGUCACAUGGGAACGGAAACACGGUCCAGCCUCAGACGGGGGGCACGAGUGGGGAUUGUUGGACAGGGGGCGAAACCCUGAUCACGCAUGGCGGCGGGGGAGAAAGAGGUCUUGGGAUUGAAAGGCAUUUUAAGGGGGGAGAAAGGGCAGAAAUUAAAUACCUUGUUUUUUUGACUUAACAAACAAAAAAGGCCCGGGCAACCUUGGUG